rnacentral:rRNA from 1 species
CCCGCACAAGCGGUGGAGCAUGUGGUUAAUCGAAGCAACGCGAAGAACCUUACCAGGUCUUGACAUCCCGAUGCUAUUUCUAGAGAUAGAAAGUUACUUCGGUACAUCGGUGACAGGUGGUGCAUGGUUGUCGUCAGCUCGUGUCGUGAGAUGUUGGGUUAAGUCCCGCAACGAGCGCAACCCCUAUUGUUAGUUGCCAUCAUUCAGUUGGGCACUCUAGCGAGACUGCCGGUAAUAAACCGGAGGAAGUGGGGAUGACGUCAAAUCAUCAUGCCCCUUAUGACCUGGGCUACACACGUGCUACAAUGGUUGGUACAACGAGUUGCGAGUCGGUGACGGCGAGCUAAUCUCUUAAAGCCAAUCUCAGUUCGGAUUGUAGGCUGCAACUCGCCUACAUGAAGUCGGAAUCGCUAGUAAUCGCGGAUCAGCACGCCGCGGUGAAUACGUUCCCGGGCCUU